GUUGGUCUCACCUGUGUUUGUCCAGAUGCUGCCGCAGGAGGCCGAUUGUUUCAGAGAAGCACAUUUUCAGUAUUGCUGGCGUCUCUACCAGGAUCACUGAGCUGCUGCUUUGGGCGUCAGAUGAACCCUGAUGAGAGUAAUCACUAAAUAUUGAGCAUACUGAGGGCAGCUUUCACUGAGUCCCUGAUAUCGAUCACACGACCAGCCUUCAC